AUACAGUGCUUGCUUCAGUAGGAAAAUUGGAAUGAUACAGAGAAGAUUAGCAUGGCCCCUGCACAAGGAUGACAUGCAAAUUUGUGAAGUGCUCCAUAUUUUU
ensembl:snRNA U6 U6 spliceosomal RNA